CUUCAUCUUUUUCCUGAGGUCAACAGGUGCAGGAUGUGAGUGGGCGUUAAGCCGUCUAGGAAAGGAUCUCAAAACUGGAUUAUAGAUGGCAGAUGAUGUCGUAAACCACCGCCUCUGUUCACUGCCACUGUGAACUACCAUCUUUGAACAGAGGAAAUCACAAGAUAGGGUGGGGCUAGGUUUCACAGCGGGUUCACGCGAAACCUUGGCUAAUUGUGACCUACACCCGUUUUCACACCUUGGCACGUGUGAUUAGGUAGAGAAUCAACAGGGGGUUCAUGACCCCCUUGGGGGACACUCCCCUAGAACUUAAAUCUGGGACUCUCCACCAUUUGACCUUAGAACUCAAGAGGCUUCUCAGAUGAGAGGUGAAAUGUCCUCAAUGAACUUAAAGAAGUCCCAAUGCUUUUCUUUCCAACCUCUUUAGACUAACAUGACCUGGAUUGACUGAGAACCUUCACAGACUUAUUUCGCACAAACACCACAUGAGGCCACAACAUGAAGUUGCUAUUGGCAAUGGAAACAGUGCCUAUAUGUAUUUUUGUAGACUUUUGAAUAUGAUGUAUUCUGAUGCUGCCUGUGGUUUCCUGACAGUAAAUAUAACAAGUAUGAAAACUACAUUUACAUAUGACUCAGAUAGGUGUAGUUUUCACAGUCACAGGAUUCAGGUUCUUCAUCAUGGCUGGACAUCUGCUGUUUGUCAUCCUCAUCUAUUUUUUUGAUGAUGUCAAAGCACAAGCCUUUAAUCUGCCAAAAGUGAUUCUGAGUAAAUGCCUGAUCACAGAGACAGACUCAGUCACACUGAGCUGUGAAGCUCCAUCAUCUAUUUCUGUGUCUCAGUGUGAUUUCUACAUUGCAAGUCAAAAAGUGUCUACAGGCUCCUCCUGUGUGCAGACACUAACAGGGACUAUGCUGCUGAGGAUGGCUCGAAAGACUUUACCUGCUGAGGUUGAAGUUAGAUGUGCUUAUGUUGCAAAGCAUGAUGGGUUUUAUUUAACAUCUCUUGACAGUGAACCAUCUACUAUCGCCAUAAAUGCCCUUCUUCCACCUAAACUGAAAGUGAGACCACAGGUGAUCACAGAGACAGACUCAGUCAUACUGGACUGUGAGACUCCACCAUCUGUUUCUAUAUCUGAUUGUUAUUUUCGCACUUCAGGACAACAACUUGCCAAAAAUUUUUCUUGUUUGCAGAAACUGAAUGGAUCUGAAAUGCUAUCACUUGCACAUCAAAGUGCACCUGUUACAUUAAAAGUGACCUGUUUUUACCUUUUUAUAUAUCAGUCUCCAAUGAGUAAUGUGUCUCCACUCACCAUAAGAUCUUUUCUCCAACCUACACUGACAGUAAGUAGAUCAGCUAUCACAGAGAUGGAUUCAGUCACACUGAACUGUGAGGCUCCAUCUUCGGUUUCAGAGUGUUAUUUCUACACUUUGAGUAAAGGAACUGUUAGAAAGUUGUCCUGUCUGACACAGCAGACAGCAACUGAACUUCUGGAGAUGGCCGGUCUCAGACCACCUGCAGAGAUUAAAGUGAGUUGUUCUUACACGCCCCAGACGGGAGGGUCAAACUCUUUGUACAGUGACUAUUCCUCCAUCAUCAUCCAAACUCCCCUUCCACCUAAACUCAUCAUUAAUCCACCAGUGAUCACAGAGACAGACUCAGUCACACUCAACUGUGAGACUCCUUCAUCUGUUUCUGUGCCUGAAUGUUAUUUCUACACUUUGAGUGGAGGGACGGUGAAAGGGUUUUCCUGUCUAACAACACUGACAGCAACCACGCUGCUGGAGAUGGCAAAUCUCAGGACACCUGCUGAAAUUAAAGUGAUCUGUUUUUACAUUGCACAACCUGGAGAGUUAAAGUCUCGGAACAGUAGCAUGUCAACCAUUACAGUACAAAGGGGAAAUCUAAAGGAUGGAAAAAGAACCAUGAAUUUAGUAACCAUCAUUCCUGGGGACAAAAGUGGUAUUCCUUACGUUUUUUAUGACACAACCUGGAGGGUCAGGCUCUCCAUACAGUAA
ensembl:lncRNA